GAUGAAGAACGUAGCGAAAUGCGAUAAGUAAUGUGAAUUGCAGAAUUCAGUGAAUCAUCGAAUCUUUGAACGCACAUUGCGCCCCCUGGUAUUCCGGGGGGCAUGCCUGUUCGAGCGUCAUUUCACCACUCAAGCCUCGCUUGGUAUUGGGCAACGCGGUCCGCCGCGUGCCUCAAAUCGUCCGGCUGGGUCUUCUGUCCCCUAAGCGUUGUGGAAACUAUUCGCUAAAGGGUGUUCGGGAGGCUACGCCGUAAAACAACCCCAUUUCUAAGGUUGACCUCGGAUCAGGUAGGGAUACCCGCUGAACUUAAGCAUAUCAAGCGGAGGA
rnacentral:misc_RNA from 1 species